rnacentral:rRNA from 1 species
GUAAAAGUCGUAACAAGGUUAAAUAUCGAUGUAGGUAAACCACCUCCGAAGCCUUGAACUCCAGUCUAUUCUUAAUAGGCUACACCGGUCUGUUGCUAGGCUUAACAUUCAUAUUAGUUAAAUGUUUUACUAGCAGUCGUUGAUACGAUUCACAGGUCAAACACCGGUGGUGAGCAAAUUUCGCGAAUUUAGAUAUGAUCGGUCAGUCUUUGUUAAGAAGUUUGAUAAACGUUCCGUAGGUGAACCUGCGGAAGGAUCAUUAAUGAGUUAGGGUCUUCUAGGCCCGAUCUCCAACCCUUUGUAUAACUACCAUGUUGCUUUGGCGGGCCCGUCUUUAACCGGACCGCCGGGGGUCUUUUGACCUCUGGCCAGUGCUCGUCAGUAGCCUACACAAAACUCUUUUAACCAUGUUAAAUCUGAAACUAGUUAAAUAAACUAAAACUUUCAACAACGGAUCUCUUGGUUCUGGCAUCGAUGAAGAACGCAGCGAAAUGCGAUAAGUAAUGCGAAUUGCAGAAUUCAGUGAGUCAUCGAAUCUUUGAACGCACAUUGCGCCCUUUAGUAUUCUGAAGGGCAUGCCUGUUCGAGCGUCAUUAUCACUAAUCAAGCCCGGCUUGCUGUUGGACCUCUUGUCGUUAAAAGACAGGUCCUAAAGAUAAUGACGGCGUCAGUUGGACCCUAGAUGCAACGAGCUUUAACUAGCACGCAUUUUAGUUGGCCCUUUUGACCCGGUCUUUUUAUAACCAUUUUCUAAGGUUGACCUCGGAUCAGGUAGGAAUACCCGCUGAACUUA